ACUCAAAUGAAUUGACGGGGGCCCGCACAAGCGGUGGAGCAUGUGGUUUAAUUCGAUGCAACGCGAAGAACCUUACCAAGGCUUGACAUCCUCCCGACGCAUGUAGAGAUACGUGUUCCCUUCGGGGCGGGAGAGACAGGUGGUGCAUGGUUGUCGUCAGCUCGUGCCGUGAGGUGUUGGGUUAAGUCCCGCAACGAGCGCAACCCUUAUCUUUAGUAGCCAGCGAGUUAUGUCGGGCACUCUAGAGAGACUGCCGUGGAUAACACGGAGGAAGGCGGGGAUGACGUCAAAUCAUCAUGCUCUUUAUGUCUUGGGCUACACACGUGCUACAAUGGCCGCCACAGAGCGAAGCGAAGCAGCGAUGCGGAGCAAAGCGCAAAAAAGCGGCCCCAGUUCGGAUCGCAGUCUGCAACCCGACUGCGUGAAGUUGGAAUCGCUAGUAAUCGCGAAUCAGCAUGUCGCGGUGAAUACGUUCCCGGGCCUUGCACACACCGCCCGU
rnacentral:rRNA from 1 species